rnacentral:rRNA from 1 species
GAGUUUGAUCCUGGCUCAGAAUGAACGCUGGCGGCGUGGUUAAGACAUGCAAGUCGAACGGGACAGGCUGUGUAGCAAUACACAGCUUGUUCAGUGGCGAACGGGUGCGUAACACGUGAACAAUCUACCAUUGAGUGUGGAAUAGCUCGCCGAAAGGCGAAUUAAUACCGCAUGUGGUUGUCUUUCGCAUGAUAGACAUACUAAAGUCAGGGACCGCAAGGCCUGGCGCUAAAUGAGGAGUUCGCGGCCUAUCAGCUAGUUGGCGAGGUAACGGCUCACCAAGGCUAUGACGGGUAUCUGGUUUGAGAGGAUGAUCAGACACACUGGAACUGAGACACGGUCCAGACUCCUACGGGAGGCAGCAGUGAGGAAUAUUGCACAAUGGAGGAAACUCUGAUGCAGCAACGCCGCGUGGAGGAUGACGCAUUUCGGUGUGUAAACUCCUUUUAAGAGGGAAGAUUAUGACGGUACCUCUUGAAUAAGCAC